AUAAGUCCACUUAAUGUACUCACAGGUAACUUCAGACCUUCUUUGAUCACCCUGGAGCUGAUCGUUGUCUGAGUCUUUGUCAUUCUGUCUAUUUUUUGAUCCAUUUGAAUGGUGGUGUUCAGUUUUCUUCCAGGUCUCUCUGGUUUUGUUACCAUUUUAAUACAUCUGAGAUCAUUUUAGCUGAGCCGCCUGUCAUUUUCUGCACUUCUUUAUAUAUU